rnacentral:rRNA from 1 species
AUUGAACGCUGGCGGAAUGCUUUACACAUGCAAGUCGAACGGCAGCACGGGUGCUUGCACCUGGUGGCGAGUGGCGAACGGGUGAGUAACAUAUCGGAACGUAUCCAAUAAUGGGGGAUAACUAAUCGAAAGGUUGGCUAAUACCGCAUACGCCCUACGGGGGAAAGCUAGGGACCUUCGGGCCUGGCGUUAAUGGAGCGGCCGAUAUCUGAUUAGCUAGUUGGUGGGGUAAUGGCCUACCAAGGCGACGAUCAGUAGCUGGUCUGAGAGGACGACCAGCCACACUGGAACUGAGACACGGUCCAGACUCCUACGGGAGGCAGCAGUGGGGAAUUUUGGACAAUGGGCGCAAGCCUGAUCCAGCCAUUCCGCGUGAGUGAAGAAGGCCUUCGGGUUGUAAAGCUCUUUCGCAAGGGAAGAAAACUUAUCCUCUAACAUAGGAUGAGGUUGACGGUACCUUGGUAAGAAGCACCGGCUAACUACGUGCCAGCCGCCGCGGUAACAC